CAAGGCAAAAACUACUAAGUGAACUCAGCAUCAACCCUUUCUGUGGGAGAAAAAAACAAAGUGAAGCUUCAAAUCAAAGAGUUAAUAUAGAACUGCUGACCGAAGAGAAAACAUCCACAGAUACACAUACGCAGAGAUUCAGCAUGCAUCAAAACUAUGUAAACUCCUACUGUUUGUGUGAAACGAGGGAAAGGUGACCAAAGGAAAAUAAACUCUAGCUAUUAGCAUUUCAAAGCCGCCACAGUAAAGUUCAUUUCAAAUUAAGCGUGCAGGCGCCUCAUGGGGCAGUGUGUGUGUGUCAUGGUCCUGAGGGACGCACACGUGGGGGGAGUUAAAGGAAUGUCAAAAUUUAAAUUUCUACCACAACAAAUCUACUUCAGUGGUUACUCAUGAUUUUUGUGACUUACAAAAGACUGACCUCACAGAAACUCCUUCUGUACCAAAAUGCACCUAUUCUUUUUUUUUUUAGAAUUUUUCUUUUCUUUUCUAUUCUUUUAUUUCCUUAAACCAACAUGAAACAGAGUUCUGGAAACAUUUUCAGUUCUGAACAAAGACAUAUUUAUUGUAUUGUGAUGUCACACGCCUGUCUUUAGUGGUCCUCAACCAGAGGGCUGGGACCCACUUGGGGGCCUACGCAAAUUUCCACUGCCCGUGAAAUUGUCCCGGC